rnacentral:rRNA from 1 species
CGCAUCUGUGCAUGCAGCAUAUCAAUAAGCGGAGGAAAAGAAACUAACAAGGAUUCCCCUAGUAACGGCGAGUGAAGCGGGAAGAGCUCAAAUUUGAAAUCUUAAAGGGUUUCCCUUUACGAAUUGUAGUUUAAAGAAGUGUUUUCUGUUGUAGGUUUUGGUAAAAGUUCUUUGGAAUAGGACAUCAUAGAGGGUGAGAAUCCCGUAUUUGACCUUUACUUUCAACUUUGUGAUACACUUUCAAAGAGUCGGAUUGUUUGGGAAUGCAGUCCAAAAUGGGUGGUAAAUUUCAUCUAAAGCUAAAUAUUGGCGAGAGACCGAUAGCGAACAAGUACUGUGAGGGAAAGAUGAAAAGAACUUUGAAAAGAGAGUUAAACAGUACGUGAAAUUGUCAAAAGGGAAGCGUUUGACACCAGUGUUGUUUUUCUGAAAAUCAAUUAAAGAACUGUUUAUGCUAAGUUGUUUAGACUUUAUCAGCUAAUCUGCUUAGUUUUGAGCUUUUCUUUAAUGCACUUUUCAGUUAACAAGUCAACAUCAAUUUCUUUUGCUGUAAAAAAGCUUGAGGAAGGUGGCUUGAGAUUCGUCUUAAGUGUUUAUAGCCUCUUGCCUAUGCAGUCGGAGAGAUUGAGGUCUGCAGCGUAGAUCCUUCGGGGCUAAAUGCAUUUGUGCUAAGUUAUAGCAUUUUAUAGACAACUUGUUGACUAUGAUUUGUCUUGUAGCUUACUCGCUUAUGUUAUUUUACCUACGCUUAGGAUGUUGAGCGCAUGUCUCUCUCU